rnacentral:rRNA from 1 species
GAUGAACGCUGGCGGCGUGCUUAAUACAUGCAAGUCGAGCGGAAAGGUCUCUUCGGAGAUACUCGAGCGGCGGACGGGUGAGUAACGCGUAAGAAUGUACCCCAAAGUGAGGAAUAAGCACCAGAAAUGGUGUCUAAUGCCGCAUGUGCUCUUCGGAGUAAAGCUUUUUGCGCUUUGGGAACAGCUUGCGUCUGAUUAGCUAGUUGGUAAGGUAACGGCUUACCAAGGCGACGAUCAGUAGCUGGUCUGAGAGGACGAUCAGCCACACUGGGACUGAGACACGGCCCAGACUCCUACGGGAGGCAGCAGUGGGGAAUUUUGGACAAUGGGCGAAAGCCUGAUCCAGCAAUGCCGCGUGCAGGAUGAAGGCCUUCGGGUUGUAAACUGCUUUUGUACGGAACGAAAAGCCCCGGGUUAAUACCCUGGGGUCAUGACGGUACCGUAAGAAUAAGCACCGGCUAACUACGUGCCAGCCGCCGCAGUAA